rnacentral:rRNA from 2 species
CGGCCCGGUGAUUAUUGCGCGGGGCCCCCACCUGAUCCCAUCUCGAACUCAGCCGUUAAAUCCCGCAGCGCCGAUGGUACUUCGUCUCAAGGCGUGGGAGAGUAGGUCGUCGCCGGGCCU